GGUUGGCUCAGUGGUAGAGUGCUUGCCUUGCAUGCAUGAGGUCCUGAGUUCUAUUCCUCAGCACCA
rfam:Dipodomys ordii contig_51139, whole genome shotgun sequence.